rnacentral:rRNA from 1 species
CAAUCCCUGAGUAUAGUGGCGACCGGGNGAGUAACACGUGACUACCUGCCCUUGAGUGGGGGAUAACCUCGGGAAACCGAGGCUAAUACCGCAUAAUAUCGCAAGAUCAAAGGAGCAANCUGCUUUUGGAGGGGGUCGCGGCUGAUUAGCUAGUUGGUAGGGUAAUGGCCUACCAAGGCGAAGAUCGGUAUCCGGCCUGAGAGGGCGCACGGACACACUGGAACUGAAACACGGUCCAGACUCCUACGGGAGGCAGCAGUGGGGAAUUUUGCGCAAUGGGGGAAACCCUGACGCAGCAACGCCGCGUGGAGGAUGAAGCCCCUUGGGGCGUAAACUCCUUUCGACUGGGAAGAUUAUGACGGUACCAGUGGAAGAAGCACCGGCUAACUCUGUGCCAGCAGCCGCGGUAAUACAGAGGGUGCGA